CCUACGGGAGGCAGCAGUGAGGAAUAUUGGUCAAUGGGAGGAAUCCUGAACCAGCCAUGCCGCGUGCAGGACGACGGCUCUACGAGUUGUAAACUGCUUUUGUACCGGGGUAAAAUGCUCUACGAGUAGGGUUUUGCAAGUACGGUACGAAUAAGGAUCGGCUAACUCCGUGCCAGCAGCCGCGGUAAUACGGAGGAUCCGAGCGUUAUCCGGAUUCAUUGGGUUUAAAGGGUGCGUAGGUUGUUUUAUAAGUUAGCGGUGAAAUACCGAUGCUCAACAUCGGGGCUGCCGCUAAUACUGUAGGAUGAGAGAUCGGAGGAAGAAGGCGGAAUGGGUAGUGUAGGGGUGAAAGGAAUAGAUA
rnacentral:rRNA from 1 species